AAGCAAGACUACCCGCUGAACUUAAGCAUAUCAAUAAGCGGAGGAAAAGAAACCAACCGGGAUUGCCUCAGUAACGGCGAGUGAAGCGGCAAAAGCUCAAAUUUGAAAUCUGCGUAAGCCGAGUUGUAAUUUGAAGAUGGCUACUUUGGUAAUGGCUCUUGUCUAUGUUCCUUGGAACAGGACGUCACAGAGGGUGAGAAUCCCGUACGUGGUCGCUAGCCUUUACCGUGUAAAGCCCCUUCGACGAGUCGAGUUGUUUGGGAAUGCAGCUCUAAAUGGGAGGUAAAUUUCUUCUAAAGCUAAAUAUUGGCCAGAGACCGAUAGCGCACAAGUAGAGUGAUCGAAAGAUGAAAAGCACUUUGAAAAGAGAGUUAAAAAGCACGUGAAAUUGUUGAAAGGGAAGCGCUUGCAGCCAGACUUGCUUAC
rnacentral:rRNA from 1 species